AGUUGCCGUGAAUUUAGAAUUGAAAGAGUCGAUGUCGCACUGAAUAGUCAGUUUAUUUCGACAGUUGUGUUACAUUUGAUGACGGAUGAUGAUGACCUGUUCUAAAAACUCGUCUAAUCUUCACUUUGUACAUCGGAUAUGUAAAGUAACGUCUUUCUACCAUGAUGAAAUUCUAAUGUUUACAAGGAACCCCUCACAGGACAUAGACUUUGACUUAACAAACAUGGCAAAUAUUCUUGAUAUUCCUAGUCUGAGUGACAUGAUCCUUAGAGUAAUAUAUGAUGUUGUGGUGUGAUUUGUGGUUCUCCCAAACAGGACCACAGUCCCUUUGACUGAUGUUGAUCCAUAUGAACUGAAAUACCUCUUGCCUGAUGGUGUCCUUCACAUUGAAUUCCUGGAAGCUAAAUAGACUUAAUCAAGAAAGACAUUGUUAUCAUAUCUAAAGGUUCUUCAGAUCCAAAUGUCAUUCUCAGAGUGGCUUCCACUAGAGAAUGUGAAGAGUGGCCAGAUCAACUUGAGAUGCACAUGGUUCACACUGACUGCCAAACCAGAGGAUCUCCCACUGCCUGACUAAGCCAUUAUUGGUGAGGAGAUGUUAGCAACAGCAGCUCUUUUUGUUAAAUUGGACUCAGCCAAGAAUCUUCCACAAGUGAUACAAUGUCAGUUGAUGAGAAACAGUUUAUUCGGUAGCACUAAUUGUCAGUGAUUCCUUCGAAGAACAACCUUUGGGGCCAGUUGUAGAGGUUUCAACCGACUCAGUGCUCGUAAAAACGCCCAAAAUGGAUUCAAGCUGUUUUGUCCGAGGCGGCUCGGGGAAGGUUAACGUGCCAUCUUUCCUCACGUGUCCAUUGAAGAGAGUCGCUUGGAAAACUGAUUCAAAAUGGCUCUUUAAACGUUCCAGUUUCGUCUCAUCACACGGAGGACUGCAGAGUGCUGACCUCGCCUUUUAGUAAAGGAAGAAGCCUCACAGGCAGCGCGCUCCUGAGCCUCUGACUGCUCCACGUGAUCGGCUGGGCCUGCACAGAAGGGAGGGAAACAGUUCCAUGCCCUCUCUGGCAGAUAUGAUGGGGGUUUAAGAAAACCACAACUGCAACGGCAACGGGAACAUCACUAAACACAAGGUUUAAUGAACAGAACAAUGGCUUUGCACGUGCGUUGUAAAUUUUUCUAAAUUUCUCUGCGUCCUCUGCAAAACUACAACGUGAAAUCACCAAACUUUGCGUUGUUUUGGAGAACGUGACCGACGACGGCUAAUUUUUUAAAUUUCUAUUUCUAAUUUAACGCCGUGUUCCUUAUUCAGUUUCGAGAUAGAUUUGACAGUGAAAAACAAACUAAAUGACUUUAGCGUAUCGCGAGAUUCGUAGGUAAAAUAAAGGUUCACUUUUUAACCGACGUUGUCCACGGCAUCGCCGUCGUCGAUUCUUAAACUCGCUAUUGUUCAUGUGUGGCACAAACUGCAAUUUGAACAGUAAAUUAGCGAAUUGUGGCACAGGAAGCUAGUUUGUGGUGGUUUUUGUUAAGGAAGAAACACGUGUAAGUAUAUCGAGUGAGUCUGAGUUUUAGUCUUUCUAAAUCUCUGUCUUUUGGGAUCAAGCAACCAGUGUUCGUCAACAAAGUGAGAGGAAAGUGAUUCUAAAAUAACAUGUGAUCUUCCAAUAUCCUCAGAGUUAUUUCGCCUCCAAUUGCUCUAAUUAUGGGGCAUACUUAGGUAAUGGAAGUUUUGUUUAAA